rnacentral:tRNA from 1 species
UCCUCGGUAGCUCAGUCGGUAGAGCAGAUGGCUGUUAACCAUCGGGUCCAUGGUUCGAGUCCGUGCCGAGGAGCCA